AAUCAUUAUUGCUCAAAAAAAAGCAAAUAGUCACAAUUACACAACACAAAGUAAGAAGAUAAAACAGAAAAUUCUUCGGGGACAAAUCUGUACCUCCAUGUCUCCCUCUCUCUAUCUCUCUAAUUCUUCGGGGACAAAGCAUAAGACUUAAAGGCGCGUGAGGAUAUAUAAGUCUACCGAGAACAGUACUGCGACGGUAGUAGAGGCAGAAGCUGCAGAGGUUAAAAUCAAUGAAGAGGUUGUGAGUACAUUGCAAAAAGCUUUUAUUCUCCAAUUAAGUCGAGAUUGAAAAGUCAAGCUGGGGAUUUGAUUUGACGAUUUUGUCGACAACUUGAUUGAGAUGGAAGUUCAGUUGCAAGGAAGAAAUAAUUUGUGUGGGUAGUUAUCUAUUUCUUUUAAAUGGUGGUUUGAUGCUUAUAUUCUCUUGAAAUUUUCAAAUGUGUUUGUCUUUCUAUUUCGAUUGAUUUGAUCAAAUUAGGUGAUGGAUCCAUCAAUUUUUACCCUUGUUUAGUAGCUUACCAAUGUUUUUAUAAUUCGCUAUAUUUAUAUUUUCGUAAGGUUUUCUGACUCACUGAUCUUUAAAAUUUCAUAUUUCUUAUGACACAUGCAUAAGAGGAUCAGGAAGCUAACAACUUCAACACAGCCAAAAAUCUUCAAAUCUCGAGCAGCAAAAAUUUCUCAAAUUCACGCAAUGAAUAUGAGAAUGAAACUAGAGAAACCAAAUCCUCAACAGAAUCCGUCGCUUUAUUAGAAGCUGAAAAAGGUCAUGACUGAGAGCUCGAGUACAUAACCAAGUUCAUAGUCUCUGGCCAACUGAUGAUAAAAGAAUUCUCCUUGGGGAUAGCUACUGAUAUUACCUCUGAACUUUUUCGCUAAAAUUGAAGGUAAGAGAGAUGCCCAGAGUAAGAUUGAGAGAAAAACACUGGUCGACUUUGUGCUUAUCAAAUGCGAGCAAAUGUUCAUGGGAAGCUAUAGAGGAUUGUUGGGGAGAGAAGUCAUUUUUCUUGAAAGAAGAGAGAUUUUGACAGAAGAAGUGAAUAAAGAGGUUCACGGAUUGAAGAAACCAUGGUCCCAAGAGUUCGCUCAUUACACACUUGCAUCGAAUUGGAAUUAGAUUUGAGAAAAACUUUUCAAUCCCCAAAAAUUCUAUGUAUAAGAAAAACACACAUUUCAAUUUU